AAAAGAAGAUGGGGUUCGAGCCUAAUGAUCUUAAUUCAUUUAGUUCCCUGCUCAAAAUAAGCGGAGUGAGACUCGGACUCAGUCAAUGGUACUCGCCUACCUUGGGACAAUUUCCAUGGUACAACAAAUUGCUUUAUUUCAUUCAACAAUACUGCUGCAUAGUAUGGCUACUCUCUCCACGACCUGAACUGUCUGGGACAGUAAUGAGGGUGGCUGUGGACAGAAGAGGGAA